rnacentral:rRNA from 1 species
AUAUAGGACGGCGGAAGCUCAACGGAUAAAAGUUACUCUGGGGAUAACAGGCUGAUCGCGCCCAAGCGUCCACAGCGACGGCGCGGUUUGGCACCUCGAUGUCGGCUCAUCGCAUCCUGGGGGUGAAGAAGCUCCCAAGGGUUUGGCUGUUCGCCAAUUAAAGCGGUACGCGAGCUGGGUUCAGAACGUCGUGAGACAGUUCGGUCUCCUAUCUGCUAUGGGCGCAGAAUCUUGAGUAGGCCCUUCCUUAGUACGAGAGGACCGGGAAGGACGAACCUCUAGUGUGCCGGCUGUGGUACCAACUGCAGCGCCGGGUAGCUAUGUUCGGUUUGGAUAAACGCUGAAAGCAUCUAAGCGUGAAGCCGUCUACAAGAUUAGGAUUCGUUAUCAGGCCCCUCAGAGACUAUGAGGUUAAUAGGCUGCAGGUGUAAGCGCAGUAAUGUGUUAAGCCGAGCAGUACUAAUCGGCCGAGUAAUCACCGAAU